UAAAUUUUAGUAAAAUUAAAAUUUAUGGUUUGGAAAUUUUUGUGUCAUUAAGACUUUUGAAAGCGAAUUAGAUUAGUACCUAAUUAGUAAAAAAUUAAAUAUUCAGGAGUAAAGUGGUAUUUAAACUGAAAGAAUAUUGGCAGAUUUUCUAAAUUAUCUUUGGAGGUUGAGUGAUAAUUGAGAACCCUCAUUAACUACUUAAUUUUUUGGCUUAUGUAUGAUCGUUUAUCUCUAAGCCUAAGGUUUAGGAUUAUAGGUUUAUCUAUUCGACUGUAAAAAUAGAUAUAUAUUUGGUUGAUAAUUAAGUUAAAUUUGACCUACAAUAUUUUGAAUUAUGGAUUAUUUAGUUAGUAAUAAUAUGAAAUUGUAAAAGACAGUAAGAAAGUUUUUAUGUCUUUCUGAAGAGUAUUU
rnacentral:rRNA from 1 species